GAUAAAUAGCCUCACAUUGUCAAUCUAGUCAGGUGUCAUAUCUAAAUGAGUUUUGGGGCCACUUUGAAAAAAACUUUCCAUUUUCAGAGCUUCAGAGAUUUGGGUACUGUAGAUAAGGGACUGGGAUCUGUCAUAUGGGCUCAACACAGAUCCUGGAAGUGUAGAGAGGAAGCUACAUUGGAAUUAGAAGACUCGGUGAAAGUCUUGUGAAUGAGGCAGAAUUUGAGCUACAGUGAGUUAAUUUUCUGCCCCUGGGAGGUGAGGUCCCCACAAUGCCUUGUCACCCUGUUAUCAGCCAUGGAAGCUAUAUUUUCCUGCUUGAGCCACUAGGCGCCUGUGGAGUAUUUUGUAAAUUGCUUUCCUGCGAUAGUCUACGUGGUCAGAUUAAACAAAAAAAACAAAAACAAAACAAAACAAAACAAAAGAAAAACAUGACCCACUGAGAUUUGCCCAAAGUGAAGACCCGGAGGAGAUGAGUAUGCCCAUCAAACAGUGCCGGAACGCUUAGGGAGAGAAGCUGGACGGAAGCUGAAGAGGAUGGAGCCACAUCUGAAUACUAGAGAAUAUAGGCUUUAAUCCCUGGCUAAUUCCAUUCUCUUAAUAAUUCACUCCAUACAAUGGAGAUCUUUCACAUUUCAUUCCUAAAUCCUUGGUUUACCUACCAGACAGAUUGCUAACGUGGCCGAUUUUCUCUGACACCUAUUCUUCUUUCCCCUCUUCCCAUCCUAUUUCUCAUUUUUUCCCCCUUACCUUAGAUAAUCUUUUGUCUCUUUCCCCGGAGAGGGAUUCGCCCUCAGGAAGCAUAGGAAUCUGCCUUGGCUGGGUCAUCACCUUUCACCACUUCAUUACCACCUCUAAAACAUCAGGCCAGCCCACAGAUGGAGACAUACCUCCUGUCCACUAUUAUUAGAAUUCCCUGGGAGACAACACUGUUCCUAAGAGGUUAUUGCUGGAAGUGAGUCAGAGGUAUAAGGGAUAUAUUGAAUCAGGGACGUCUAGGAGGAUACUAAAGUGGUUGCCUGUCUGUGAAAACAGGAAGGAUAAAGAGAAUAAAGACAGAAAGAACAGGAAAAUGCAAGCCAGGUCAGAGUAAAGCAAACCGUUCUUCCCUUCAGUCUCCCAUUUAUGUAUGUCCCUGACUUGGGUCUAUAAUAGUCUAGGAAUGUGAAGCAGAGAAAAACUCUAGGGGAAGGAAAUCUCAAAAUUCAGUCACACGGUGAAUCCUUACAGCUAUGUUCUCAGAUUCCUCUUCUCCCUAUGCAUGACUAACUACACUAUUUCUCAUUUGAAUUUAGAGGAAAUAGGCUGAGGGCAGCCACUUGCAUCUUCUGUGUAUCCAGCCACACAGCUUCUCUUCUCCUUGAUUAAGUUUGAUACCUUCUCUGCUGAAAUUAUUCUUUCACUAACUUUCUUGUUCUUUAGAGCAAUAAAGCGGAAACGAUGCUAAAUGAGAAAAAGACUGUCUCCCAUCCCAUUCAUCCCACAUCUACUGGGCACCUCAUAUGAGCACUAUUCUGCUUCUGGACAUAAUUCAAAAAAGAUUUCUCACUCUCUCUUUCUCUUUCUCUCUUUUCCUCUCUCUUUUUCUCAUUCUCUUGACCCACCCCCCUCUAACUCCCUGUGCCAGACUCUGACUAUAGGACGAACAUCUGCUUGCAUGACUGACUAUAGGACCAACAUAGCAUAAGUGAUCAGUAUCGGCUGACUGAAUCUCUAAAAGGAUCCAGAUAAAGAGAAGAGCGGGCCCAAAAAGAAAAAGAAGAGGAAAAGGAGAACAGAGAAAGUAAGGAGAAAAAGAAGCAAAGGACAAAAGCAAAGGAACAAAAUGCAAGUUGGGUGACCCAUAGGGCAAGGAAGAAUUCCAUCUGCAUGAUACCUAAGAUCAGGAGAACUAUAUGAGAAAGAAGAAGUAAAAAAGGAAGAGGAACAGGAGAAGGUGAAGAGAAAAAAG
rnacentral:lncRNA from 10 species